rnacentral:rRNA from 1 species
GAUGAACGCUGGCGGCGUGCCUAAUACAUGCAAGUCGAGCGAACGGACGAGAAGCUUGCUUUUCUGAUGUUAGCGGCGGACGGGUGAGUAACACGUGGAUAACCUACCUAUAAGACUGGGAUAACUUCGGGAAACCGGAGCUAAUACCGGAUAAUAUUUUGAACCGCAUGGUUCAAAAGUGAAAGACGGUCUUGCUGUCACUUAUAGAUGGAUCAGCGCUGCAUUAGCUAGUUGGUAAGGUAACGGCUUACCAAGGCAACGAUGCAUAGCCGACCUGAGAGGGUGAUCGGCCACACUGGAACUGAGACACGGUCCAGACUCCUACGGGAGGCAGCAGUAGGGAAUCUUCCGCAAUGGGCGAAAGCCUGACGGAGCAACGCCGCGUGAGUGAUGAAGGUCUUCGGAUCGUAAAACUCUGUUAUUAGGGAAGAACAUAUGUGUAAGUAACUGUGCACAUCUUGACGGUACCUAAUCAGAAAGCCACGGCUAACUACGUG